UACGUAGGGGGCUAGCGUUAUCCGGAAUUACUGGGCGUAAAGGGUGCGUAGGUGGUUUCUUAAGUCAGAGGUGAAAGGCUACGGCUCAACCGUAGUAAGCCUUUGAAACUGGGAAACUUGAGUGCAGGAGAGGAGAAUGGAAUUCCUAGUGUAGCGGUGAAAUGCGUAGAGAUUAGGAAGAACACCAGUGGCGAAGGCGAUUCUCUGGACUGUAACUGACGCUGAGGCACGAAAGCGUGGGGAGCAAACAGGAUUAGAUACCCCGGUAGUCCCUGAGCGGG
rnacentral:rRNA from 1 species